ensembl:lncRNA
GGGGGGGGGAGGUAGGGAUCAUCUUUUCAUGCCUCAACAAUGGAGUUCUGCUGGCUGAGCUCAUAGCAGCAUCUGCAGUGGAAACAGUUAAUAUUUGUGUUUAAAAAAAAAAAACAACACAUGAACAUGAGACUAAGGUAGAACGUUUAAAAAUAACUGUUCUUGAUGUUGCUACAGAGACCUUUAUUAUAGCCAUAGUACGUGAUGUGCAUUGAUUACGUUCCACAUAAGUAGCAUUUUCUUGCUCAGACUAGUAGGAACUGACAGUACUCCCACUUGUAUGAGACAGUAUGAAGAAGCAUGCAGGCUGUGGCAGAAAGGAGGUGUGCUUGGCUUUUCAACUCUUAAAAACUGUAAGUGUGCAGUUUUAGUACUCUACUGACUGUUUCUUGCCCUUGCAGAUGUCCCCUGUUUAACGCAUCCUGCCUUUUCUAUAGCAGAAGCGUGUAGGGUUGUAGCAAUGCUGGUGAUAAACAUAGCGAUCCCACCAUAACCAGAAGGGCUAUAAUUCAUGUGGUUGGCAGUGCAUGCAUUUGCAGCUCCCUGUUAAAUCUGAGUAGUUUCAACACAUUACAUUCAAAUACAAAAAUAUACUGACUGCUUGAAAGACUGCAUUUGCCUUUGAGCUGGCUUGAUUAGACUACAGUACUGAAGGCAGAAAAUGCAUUGCUUGUUCCCAUACACAUGGGCUCCUUCAUAAAAAUGCUGUUGAAAAAAUGCUGCUGAUCAGAAGCUGUUAAGUCAAAAUCUUGGCAAAAAUAAAUAAAUAAAUAUUACCAUAUUCUAAGCUUUGCUCAUUCCAAUAAAAAUAACAGUGGAUGGAAAUGAAGCCCUCGAAGAACUUCAGUUUCACUUUUAUAUGACAGUUUUCAUCUCUCUGAGUUUCUUAGUAUUGACUUGGAUUAAAUAACCUUGUAUGGAUGAGAAUUUUUUUGCAGAAAUGAUUCAGGAAGCCAAGCUUCUUUGGGGCUUAAUUCAUACACGUUUCAGAUUUCAUAUUGAAAAUAUUUACUUCAGUUUUUCCAUUUGCUAGACAGACAGCUCAAUAAGUAAAUUCAAGUACAAGUGCAUAACGCAGCACUUCGGGCAGCUGUGGUUUUACAGCCAUGCUUCUAAAACUGUUGGAAGAACUGCAGUUGGUGGGUAGAAUUUAUAAGCGAGGUGCUGAGGGCAGCAGACAAAGUUCCUCCCUUCUGUCAGCCUGCAGAUCUGAAUUCUGCCUUUUCAGAUGGUCCGCCCUUCGGUACAUGACUGAAGCCUGUCCUAAAAUGGGAAAAUUAUCCUUUGGUUAAGAAUGAUUUGAAUUCUUUUCUCCGUCAGAAGUUUGGAACUGAACGUGAAGGACACAGAUUUAACUCACAGCACUGCCAGAGGUUUUUGUCUACUAUUUUUACUGAUAAUCCCAAUGUUAGAGGAAAAGAAGAUCCCAAAGUCCCAAAUCUGAAGCUGGGGUGUACACAGGUUUGCAACUAUUAGUGUCACUGAAAGUCUUCAGGCCGUGUCCUUACGCUGCUUGAGUUUGUGCAAGAACGUGUUGUGAUAAAACUACCUGCUUAAAGGCUGGUCACGUGAAUCCUCAUGCUCUAUCUUUUUGUUCUUUGACUCCAGAAAAUCAAUACAGGCACAGGAAGUCGGUUGUAAAACCCUGUUACCAGGGAGGAACGGAAACAAGACGGUGAAUUAACGUUUCUAUUUGCUGUUCCCUUGCCUGCUGCCAAUGCAAAGCAAACCAACCUACUGCUCUGUGCUCAGGUGGAGUUCAUCCCUAAAGUGUGCAUCAGCUCUUCAGACGUUGAGCCCUUCCACAAAUUCAAAAUUGUUUUUAAUGCAGUUUAUUGAGGCUUCUUGUGUCAGCCAAGGGCUGAUUUGGAAUAAUUGAGGAAGAGAGCCAAGCAUUAAAAAAAAAUUUAAAUCUGAGGUUGUGGCACAUCUGAGACAUAUUGAUCAUCAUGUAAUUAAACUUGAAAUGUAUUAGGGGAAGUAGCUAAAACAAUCCUCAGCUCUAAGAGAGCUGACGUGGGAACAGGCAAGAGGGCCUUGGGGAGGCUGCCUUAUGAGGGAUGGCAAAACUAUUUCAGAAAAUGUACAGGAAAGUUGCAUGAGAGAGUGCUAAAUGACAAAUGUGGUAACAAUAAUCCCAAACUUUUCACUUUCUGAAGAUUAAGAGAGCUAUCAUUUACAUGAAAACCAGAAGCCAGGGAAGCAGAUGCAGCACGAAGGAGCAUACGUGUGACAAAUCUCACUUGUGUCUGAAUUAAAGAGCAGUUCCUGGACUUAAAAUGCAAUGGCAGGCUGCAAAUAAAGGAAAUCUUCCAUUUGCCUUGGAUACUGAACCAGACCAGACAGCUGUAGUGCUCUCUCGAUGGUAGAACCCUCAGGACAGUUGAAAGGAAGGGAUGUACCACAGCAAUCUGUCAUCAGUGCAACUUCCAGCAAUCUUUGUAGCUAACAGAUCACAGUGGAUUUUCUUUCUCCUCAUGAAUUUACCUAAUCACUUUCUAAAUCCUGUUUCAUGCAGUACUGUGAGAAUGAUAAUCUAAUUUUGGUCUCUAAGACAUGAAAUACAAAAACAAUAGGAGGCCCAGGAAAGAAUGAAGCCAUUUUGCCAACAGAUAUUACAAAAACAUGCAACAAUUAUAGCACAUUGACGAAGAAAAUUACUAAAACCGCUAAUUACAAAAUAACCCAGCAUUUCCUGCUGUGAAAAUGAAUUUGUUAUUUAGACCACUUCACUGUUUUUGAUAAAUCACCACCUGUAAUUGCUUUUCUAAGCUCGUGAUAGGGGUAUUUCUCUAUUUGGUGCCAUGAUGUCAAAUUGAAAGAGUACCUUUUCGACUGGUCGCAUUGUCUAGGGUUAAAUAGAAAACCUUUCCAAACUCUUCUUCACUCCAAGAUUUUUGUAUCAGUCAUGGAUGAGAAGAAAAAAGACAAAUGUCACCACUCUUUGCCUAGCUGUGAGAAAUUCACUGCCUGUGAAGUUAUGCUACUUGUUCUCUGCUACAAUACUAACUUUCAUGUAUUUUGCAAUCCCUGUCUAUCUCUGUUGUAAUUUCUUGCAAAGUGUUGAAAAUGUAAAGCUCUACACUCACAAUUGCCCCACAAUCUGAUUUACAAACUAAAAGAAUAUACCUGGGCUUUUCUGAGUAUUUUUCUUGCUUACAUAUAGGUGAGAUAUUCCCUUUAACAAAUAAUCCUCAUAUUAAAAAAAAAACAAGAACCAACCACGCAUACCAGGUCUAACUUAUGCAUGUGCAGCAUCCUAUUUAAUAAUUUACAGCUGUGCAAAGAACAAGCAGGUGAGUGUAUUCCAUACAGCUGCACAAAGCUCUGCGUAACCAGAGCGGAAACGGAAUGACUGCACGCACCUUUCUAUUUAUCCAGACCUCUAGAAAACGCAAACAGCAAAUUCUAAAGUGAAGCCAAAGCCAUGCAUGCCUCGAGGCCCUUUCCAGAUGGUAUGAAGACGAGCCCUUUUCCCUCCCUUUUACAUGACGUGAUUUUGCUUCCUCUCGGAUCAUCUCAGCCCUACUUACCGUUACACAACGUUUUUUGCACCCACGUUAACGUUAUUUGCUGCUAAUUCUGAUAUUCUGUCGUCAUCAGUGAAAAUGCUGAAACCCUCCCAGUUCUUGUUCAUGACGUGUCUCCGAGAUUACACAGCCCUCGAUAAAAAUGUCCCUGGGAAAGGAUAAAAGCGAUUACUGAGCUCAGUGCUUCAGACCCUUAAGCUGCCACCAGGUGCAUCAAAUGUGCCAGUUUUUCUCUUCUGCUUGCUUAACAGAGGAAAAAGCUCAAAUGAACGUUUAUCUGAUGUUCCUCCUGACCCCAAACUAAAGCUGUUAUUGCCUCUCUGAAUAUAUUAUUCCAUUCCUGUAAAGCCAUUUAGUUGCAAAUUCAACAUUUUCUUAUUGCAUAUGCCCACAUUAGCCAUGGUAAAGGCCUGUAACAGGGCAGAUGCAGUUCUGUCCCAAUGACCUCUCUGGUAUUUCUAUAGAAAUGCUCUGUUAAACACCCAGGCAUUUCAACUUCCAGUCACAAGACCUAUAAAAAAUUCAUACACCGAAUCUCUGGUUUCAAACCACAGCUCUGCAUCAUUAAGAGCUUUUCAAUCCUCCCACCCCACAGACGUUAUGAAGAAGGGGGGAGGGCGGCUCUACCUUCCCAGUGCUUAACCCUCACAUCUUCUGCUCCUCCUGCCUGCAAUUUUAACCAGCUCUGGGUGGAGGCUGGCAAACACGUGUGAGCUGCAGAGCACACAACCAGGCUGAUAUCCCAUCACCCCCAACAGAGCUUAAGAACGUGUUCGCAUUUUGAGAUCUGCCCCAAACUUCUCAGCGGGAAGCAGCAAAGGGGCUUCUAAGGAACCCCGGCACCUCCGUGCAUCUCUUGCUCUUUCCAGAGGGCUUUCACUCAGAACCCACCAGCCGGCUCCUCGUCUCCGAACGCCGCCCCUCGCUGACAGCCCCGUCC